UCGUCCUGCCUCGUGAUCGUCUUCUCACCUUUCGCGGCGGCAGGCGGAUGAACGGAAGGCCCUCGCGAGGACAGGACUCGCGAGGGCCUUCC
rnacentral:ncRNA from 1 species